UACGUAGGGGGCAAGCGUUGUCCGGAAUUAUUGGGCGUAAAGAGCGCGUAGGCGGUCCGGUAAGUCGGUUGUGAAAGUCGGGGGCUCAACCCUCGGAUGCCGAUCGAUACUGUCGGGCUAGAGUCCGGAAGAGGCGAGUGGAAUUCCUGGUGUAGCGGUGAAAUGCGCAGAUAUCAGGAGGAACACCGGUGGCGAAGGCGGUUCUCUGGGCAUGUCCUGACGCUGAGGAGCGGAAGUGUGGGGAGCGAACAGG
rnacentral:rRNA from 1 species